rnacentral:rRNA from 1 species
UAGGGAAUCUUCGGCAAUGGGGGGAACCCUGACCGAGCAACGCCGCGUGAGUGAAGAAGGUUUUCGGAUCGUAAAGCUCUGUUGUUAAGGAAGAACGAGUGUGAGAAUGGAAAGUUCAUACUGUGACGGUACUUAACCAGAAAGGGACGGCUAACUACGUGCCAGCAGCCGCGGUAAUACGUAGGUCCCGAGCGUUGUCCGGAUUUAUUGGGCGUAAAGCGAGCGCAGGCGGUUAGAUAAGUCUGAAGUUAAAGGCAGUGGCUCAACCAUUGUAGGCUUUGGAAACUGUUUAACUUGAGUGCAGAAGGGGAGAGUGGAAUUCCAUGUGUAGCGGUGAAAUGCGUAGAUAUAUGGAGGAACACCGGUGGCGAAAGCGGCCCUCUGGUCUGUAACUGACGCUGAGGCUCGAAAGCGUGGGGAGCGAACAGGAUUAGAUACCCUGGUAGUCCACGCCGUAAACGAUGAGUGCUAGGUGUUAGGUCCUUUCCGGGACUUAGUGCCGCAGCUAACGCAUUAAGCACUCCGCCUGGGGAGUACGACCGCAAGGUUG